rnacentral:lncRNA from 1 species
GGGCGGUUCAUGCCCCGGGGGGGACAGCGGGGCGGGAUCGGCACACGGCGGGUGAGGUGAUUGGGUUCGGGCGGGUGCGGUCGGCGGCGGGGGCGCCCGGGGGGCUAUAGCGCACGGCCUCGGGGGCCGCAAAGAAGGGGCCGUAACUCAUGAUUGGGGCCCCCGAUUCCGUUUCCGUUUCGUACCACGGGACCAGUGGUCCGGGCGCAUCGGGAUGGGGGGGUAGCCGCGCGGCAGUUUGAACGGCGAAAAAUGGGCAAGAUCGGGGGCCGCUUAGUAGGCUUUGCCGGUUUCGGCCGUAACUCAUGAUCCGGGCCUCCGAUUCCGUUUCCGUUUGGUCCCACGGGACCAGCGGCCCGGGGGCAUCGGGAUGGGGGGUAGCCGUGCGGCGGUUUGAUCGCCGAAAAAUGGGUAAGAUCGGGGCCGUUUGGCCCGGUUUGCCAGUUUCGGCCCCCCGGGGGGCGGUUCAUGCCCCGGGGGGGACAACAGGGCGGGAUCGGCACACGGGGGGUGAGGUGGUCGGGUUCGGGCGGGUGCGGUCGGCGGCGGGGGCGCCCGGGGGGCUAUAGCGCACGGCCUCGGGGGCCGCAAAGAAGGGGCCGUAACUCAUGAUCGGGGCCCCCGAUUCCGUUUCCGUUUCGUACCACGGGACCAGCGGUCCGGGGGCAUCGGGAUGGGGGGGUAGCCGCGCGGCAGUUUGAACGGCGAAAAAUGGGCAAGAUCGGGGGCCGCUUAGUAGGCUUUGCCGGUUUCGGCCGUAACUCAUGAUCCGGGCCUCCGAUUCCGUUUCCGUUUGGUCCCACGGGACCAGCGGUCCGGGGGCAUCGGGAUGGGGGGGUAGCCGUGCGGCGGUUUGAUCGCCAAAAAAUGGGUAAGAUCGGGGCCAUUUGACCCGUUUUGUCGGUUUCGGCCCCCCGGGGGGCGGUUCAUGCCCCGGGGGGGACAGCGGGGCGGGAUCNNNNNNNNNNNNNNNNNNNNNNNNNNNNNNNNNNNNNNNNNNNNNNNNNNNNNNNNNNNNNNNNNNNNNNNNNNNNNNNNNNNNNNNNNNNNNNNNNNNNCGGCGGCGGGGGCGCCCGGGGGGCUAUAGCGCACCGCCUCGGGGGCCGCAAACAAGGGGCCGUAACUCAUGAUCGGGGCCCCCGAUUCCGUUUCCGUUUCGUACCACGGGACCAGCGGUCCGGGGGCAUCGGGAUGGGGGGGUAGCCGCGCGGCAGUUUGAACGGCGAAAAAUGGGCAAGAUCGGGGGCCGCUUAGUAGGCUUUGCCGGUUUCGGCCGUAACUCAUGAUCCGGGCCUCCGAUUCCGUUUCCGUUUGGUCCCACGGGACCAGCGGUCCGGGGGCAUCGGGAUGGGGGGGUAGCCGUGCGGCGGUUUGAUCGCCGAAAAAUGGGUAAGAUCGGGGCCGUUUGGCCCGUUUUGCCGGUUUCGGCCCCCCGGGGGGCGGUUCAUGCCCCGGGGGGGACAGCGGGGCGGGAUCGGCACACGGCGGCUGAGGUGGUCGGGUUCGGGCGGGUGCGGUCGGCGGCGGGGGCGCCCGGGGGGCUAUAGCGCACGGCCUCGGGGGCCGCAAAGAAGGGGCCAUUACUCAUGAUCGGGGCCCCCGAUUCCGUUUCCGUUUCGUACCACGGGACCAGCGGUCCGGGGGCAUCGGGAUGGGGGGGUAGCCGCGCGGCAGUUUGAACGGCGAAAAAUGGGCAAGAUCGGGGGCCGCUUAGUAGGCUUUGCCGGUUUCGGCCGUAACUCAUGAUCCGGGCCUCCGAUUCCGUUUCCGUUUGGUCCCACGGGACCAGCGGUCCGGGGGCAUCGGGAUGGGGGGGUAGCCGUGCGGCGGUUUGAUCGCCGAAAAAUGGGUAAGAUCGGGGCCGUUUGGCCCGUUUUGCCGGUUUCGGCCCCCCGGGGGGCGGUUCAUGCCCCGGGGGGGACAGCGGGGCGGGAUCGGCACACGGCGGCUGAGGUGGUCGGGUUCGGGCGGGUGCGGUCGGCGGCGGGGGCGCCCGGGGGGCUAUAGCGCACGGCCUCGGGGGCCGCAAAGAAGGGGCCAUUACUCAUGAUCGGGGCCCCCGAUUCCGUUUCCGUUUCGUACCACGGGACCAGCGGUCCGGGGGCAUCAGGAUGGGGGGGUAGCCGCGCGGCAGUUUGAACGGCGAAAAAUGGGCAAGAUCGGGGGCCGCUUAGUAGGCUUUGCCGGUUUCGGCCGUAACUCAUGAUCCGGGCCUCCGAUUCCGUUUCCGUUUGGUCCCACGGGACCAGCGGUCCGGGGGCAUCGGGAUGGGGGGGUAGCCGUGCGGCGGUUUGAUCGCCGAAAAAUGGGUAAGAUCGGGGCCGUUUGGCCCGUUUUGCCGGUUUCGGCCCCCUGGGGGGCGGUUCAUGCCCCGGGGGGGACAGCGGGGCGGGAUCGGCACACGGCGGGUGAGGUGGUCGGGUUCGGGUGGGUGCGGUCGGCGGCGGGGGCGCCCGGGGGGCUAUAGCGCACGGCCUCGGGGGCCGCAAAGAAGGGGCCGUAACACAUGAUCGGGGCCCCCGAUUCCGUUUCCGUUUCGUACCACGGGACCAGCGGUCCGGGGGCAUCGGGAUGGGGGGGUAGCCGCGCGGCAGUUUGAACGGCGAAAAAUGGGCAAGAUCGGGGGCCGCUUAGUACGCUUUGCCGGUUUUGGCCGUAACUCAUGAUCCGGGCCUCCGAUUCCGUUUCCGUUUGGUCCCACGGGACCAGCGGUCCGGGGGCAUCGGGAUGGGGGGAUAGCAGUGCGGCGGUUUGAUCGCCGAAAAAUGGGUAAGAUCGGGGCCGUUUGGCCCGUUUUGCCGGUUUCGGCCCCCCGCGGGGCGGUUCAUGCCCCGGGGGGGACAGCGCGGCGGUAUCGGCUCACGGCGGUGAGGUGGUCGGGUUCGGGCGGGUGCGGUCGGCGGCGGGGGCGCCCGGGGGGCUAUAGCGCACGGCCUCGGGGGCCGCAAAGAAGGGGCCGUAACUCAUGAUCGGGGCCCCCGAUUCCGUUUCUGUUUCGUACCACGGGACCAGCGGUCCGGGGGCAUCGGGAUGGGGGGGUAGCCGCGCGGCAGUUUGAACGGCGAAAAAUGGUCAAGAUCGGGGGCCGCUUAGUAGGCUUUGCCGGUUUCGGCCGUAACUCAUGAUCCGGGCCUCCGAUUCCGUUUCCGUUUGGUCCCACGGGACCAGCGGUCCGGGGGAAUCGGGAUGGGGGGGUAGCCGUGCGGCGGUUUGAUCGCCGAAAAAUGGGUAAGAUCGGGGCCGUUUGGCCCGUUUUGCCGGUUUCGGCCCCCCGGGGGGCGGUUCAUGCCCCGGGGGGGACAGCGGGGCGGGAUCGGCACACGGCGGGUGAGGUGGUCGGGUUCGGGCGGGUGCGGUCGGCGGCGGGGGCGCCCGGGGGGCUAUAGCGCACGGCCUCGGGGGCCGCAAAGAAGGGGCCGUAACUCGUGAUCGGGGCCCCCGAUUCCGUUUCCGUUUCGUACCACGGGACCAGCGGUCCGGGCGCAUCGGGAUGCGGGGGUAGCCGCGCGGCAGUUUGAACGGNNNNNNNNNNNNNNNNNNNNNNNNNNNNNNNNNNNNNNNNNNNNNNNNNNNNNNNNNNNNNNNNNNNNNNNNNNNNNNNNNNNNNNNNNNNNNNNNNNNNUCCCACGGGACCAGCGGUCCGGGGGCAUCGGGAUGGGGGGGUAGCCGUGCGGCGGUUUGAUCGCCGAAAAAUGGGUAAGAUCGGGGCCGUUUGGCUCGUUUUGCCGGGUUUCGGCCCCCCGGGGGGCGGUUCAUGCCCCGGGGGGGACAGCGGGGCGGGAUCGGCACACAGCGGGUGAGGUGGUCGGGUUCGGGCGGGUGCGGUCGGCGGCGGGGGCGCCCGGGGGGCUAGCCCACGGCCUCGGGGGCCGCAAAGAAGGGGCCGUAACUCAUGAUCGGGGCCCCCGAUUCCGUUUCCGUUUCGUACCACGGUACCAGCGGUCCGGGGGCAUGGGGAUGGGGGGGUAGCCGCGCGGCAGUUUGAACGGCGAAAAAUGGGCAAGAUCGGGGGCCGCUUAGUAGGCUUUGCCGGUUUCGGCCGUAACUCAUGAUCCGGGCCUCCGAUUCCGUUUGGUCCCACGGGACCAGCGGUCCUGGGGCAUGGGGAUGGGGGGGUAGCCUUGCGGCGGUUUGAUCGCCGAAAAAUGGGUAAGAUCGGGGCCGUUUGACCCGUUUUGCCGGUUUCGCCCCCCCGGGGGGCGGUUCAUGCCCCGGGGGGGACAGCGGGGCGGGAUCAGCACACGGCGGGUGAGGUGGUCGGGUUCGGGCGGGUGCGGUCGGCGACGGAGGCGCCCGGGGGGCUAUAGCGCACGGCCUCGGGGGCCGCAAUGAAGGGGCCGUAACUCAUGAUCGGGGCCCCCGAUUCCGUUUCCGUUUCGUACCACGGGGCCAGCGGUCCGGGGGCAUCGGCAUGGACGGGUAGCCGCGCGGCAGUUUGAACGGCGAAAAAUGGGCAAGAUCGGGGGCCGCUUUGUAGGCUUUGCCGGUUUCGGCCGUAACUCAUGAUCCGGGCCUCUGAUUCCGUUUCCGUUUGGUCCCACGGGACCAGCGGUCCGGGGGCAUCGGGAUGGGGGGGUAGCCGUGCGGCGGUUUGAUCGCCGAAAAAUGGGUAAGAUCGGGGCCGUUUGGCCCGUUUUGCCGGUUUCGGCCCCCCGGGGGGGACAGCGGGGCGGGAUGGGCACACGGCGGGUGAGGUGGUCGGGUUCGGGCGGGUGCGGUCGGCGGCGGGGGCGUCCGGGGGGCUAUAGCGCACGGCCUCGGGGGCCGCAAAGAUGGGGCCGUAACUCAUGAUCGGGGCCCCCGAUUCCGUUUCCGUUUCGUACCACGGGACCAGCGGUCCGGGGGCAUCGGGAUGGGGGGGUAGCCGCGCGGCAGUUUGAACGGCGAAAAAUGGGCAAGAUCGGGGGCCGCUUUGUAGGCUUUGCCGGUUUCGGCCGUAACUCAUGAUCCGGGCCUCCGAUUCCGUUUCCGUUUGGUCCCACAGGACCAGCGGUCCGGGGGCAUCGGGAUGGGGGGGUAGCCGUGCGGCGGUUUGAUCGCCGAAAANNNNNNNNNNNNNNNNNNNNNNNNNNNNNNNNNNNNNNNNNNNNNNNNNNNNNNNNNNNNNNNNNNNNNNNNNNNNNNNNNNNNNNNNNNNNNNNNNNNNCGGGAUCGCCACACGAAGGGUGAGGCAGUCAGGUUUAGCCGGGUGCGGUCGGCGGCGGGGGCGCCCGGGGGGCUAUAGCGCACGGCCUCGGGGGCCGCAAAGAAGGGGCCGUAGCUCCUGAUCGGAGCCCCCGAUUCCGUUUCCGUUUCGUACCACGGGACCAGCGGUCCAGGGGCAUCGGGAUGGGGGGGUAGCCGCGCGGCAGUUUUAACGGCGAAAAAUGGGCAAGAUCGGGGGCCGCUUAGUAGGCUUUGCCGGUUUCGGCCGUAACUCAUGAUCCGGGCCUCCGAUUCCGUUUCCGUUUGGUCCCACGGGACCAGUGGUCCGGGGGCAUCGGGAUGGGGGGGUAGCCGUGCGGCGGUUUGAUCGCCGAAAAAUGGGUAAGAUCGGGGCCGUUUGGCCCGUUUUGCCGGUUUCGGCCCCCCAGGGGGCGGUUCAUGCCCCGGGGAGGACAGCGGGGCGGGAUCGGCACACGGGGGGUGAGGUGGUCGGGUUCGGGCGGGUGCGGCCGGCGGCGGGGGCGCCCGGGGGGCUAUAGCGCACGGCCUCGGGGGCCGCAAAGAAGGGGCCGUAACUCAUGAUCGGGGCCCCCGAUUCCGUUUCCGUUUCGUACCACGGGACCAGUGGUCCGGGGGCAUCGGGAUGGGGGGGGUAGCCGCGCGGCAGUUUGAACGGCGAAAAAUGGGCAAGAUCGGGGGCCGCUUAGUAGGCUUUGCCGGUUUCGGCCGUAACUCAUGAUCCGGGCCUCCGAUUCCGUUUCCGUUUGGUCCCACGGGACCAGCGGUCCGGGGGCAUCGGGAUGGGGGGGUAGCCGUGCGGCGGUUUGAUCGCCGAAAAAUGGGUAAGAUCGGGGCCGUUUGGCCCGUUUUCCCGGUUUCGGCCCCCCGGGGGGGACAGCGGGGCGGGAUCGGCACACGGCGGGUGAGGUGGUCGGGUUCGGGCGGGUGCGGUCGGCGGCGGGGGCGCCC